GACUACUACAUGUUGAGUAUUCCUAUUCGAAAUGCUUAGGAUCAGGUGUUUUUUGGAUUUUGGAUUUUUUCAUGAUGACAAAGGACCAUCUAGGACUUACCCUACGUUUCACUUUGCAUCUAACUUCUUGCUAAAAGUGAGCAGGUCAAGAAUUAUCCCAUCUUGGACUUAGUAUUUAAUGCAUAAUACCCAGCGAUGUCACC
rnacentral:lncRNA from 11 species